GAUGUUGAUUGUUAAGGAACUGGCAUAGGGAGAUAACAUCCACUCUCUGCAAAAAAAAAAAAUUGCUCAUAUGGGAUCUCUCGAGUUAGAAGUGACCUAUAGAAUAAGUGUUUGAUUCUGUACAAACAACUAGUUCUGGGUUUAUAUCAAUUAUGCCGACUCUUCGCAUAUGAACCAUAGUUUACAUAUUCCAUAUUCUCAACCCAAGAAAAUCAGAUUCAUUUUAGUAUUUCGAGGCGCAAAGACUGAAGGUCCUUAGCUACUACAAACACAAGGUGAAAUGAGACACAAGUAAUCAGUAUAUAUCCAUAGAUCAAAAGAGGAUAACUGGAAAAAAUUGCAAUUACAUUUCCUUUCAAAAAUAUCAGUCUAAUCACAUAAUGCCAUUAUCCACAUUUUCCAUCAAUUUCACAUGAAUACUACCCAUGUAUUCCGGUAUGGCCCAAGUAUACCCCUAU
rnacentral:lncRNA from 1 species